rnacentral:tRNA from 1 species
AGCAGCAUAGCCUAGUGGUUAGCUGUGGCCUUUAGAGUCAGAUGGAUGUGGAUUCAAAUUCCACCUCUGCCA